rnacentral:misc_RNA from 1 species
AAGUCGUAACAAGGUUUCCGUAGGUGAACCUGCGGAAGGAUCAUUCAUAAUAAGUGUUUUAUGGCACUUUUUAAAUCCAUAUCCACCUUGUGUGCAAUGUCGGUCGAUCUUCUUUUUUUGAGGAUCGACCAAACAUCAACCUUUAUUUUUUAACUCUUUGUCUGAAAAAUAUUAUGAAUAAACAAUUCAAAAUACAACUUUCAACAACGGAUCUCUUGGCUCUC